AGAGCUCCAGUGGGUUCACGUUAUGGUUUCCUGCUGCCAGGUUAAAAAGCCACCCUAGCUGUCAGUGGGUUAAAACACUGGCUACAUUGACUUGGCCCCUAAAUCUCUAACCUGGGCAGAGCUCAGCAAGGAGACCCAUCUCGUGACAGAGCAGCAGCUUUCUGGCUCACAGGGCUGCAGACUGCUGGGCCUCCACUGGGUCAGAAAGCUGGAAGACCACACAUGGCAUCUGUGCACUACUUGGGGGGUCCAGGUCUCCAGAGUGAGCACUCCAAGACACCCAGAAACAGGUAGAAGAAAAAUUGCUUCUUAUAACUUCAUUUGGGGGUCACAGAGGAUCAUUUCAGCUUCUUCUGGUCCCCAAGAAAUUCAUAAAAUUCCAAUUCCAGCCAGUUUCAAGGGAAGUAGAAAUAAUCUCUGUUGCUUGCUAGGGGCAUGGCAAUCUUCUGGAAGACACUGCGGACUGGUGAUACUGCUGCGGCCACUUUUGGGAAAUAAAAUCCAAUGAGUCAUGGUUAAUGUGCAUACAGCUGUCUGAGCAGUACCUGGCACACAGCAAAUCCAUGCUAUCAGCUUGUUUUUGAAGUUCUUCCUGCAACCAGAAAUUGGAGGGUCCCUAGAGGUAGAGAGAUCUUCGGGUCUCUCUUACCUUGCACGAGAUGAGCCCCAGAGGGAAUCUUCAGAAUGUGUUUGUUGAAUGAUUAGUGAGUGAUUUUUUUUAAUACUUCAAUCCAAUGGGUCUCAAAACUGCUAAUCAAAAUUGACGGAGGGAAUUGGUUAAAAAUAUCCGUAGGCUGUAUCUCUGACCUUCUGAAUUACAACUUCCAGUGUUAGGCUCUGGAGAAAAGCAUUUUAAUGACCUCCCCUGGGGCUCAGAUGCAGCCCGGGCUGGGACAAGCAUUUAUAAGCCAUUUGUUUAACUCGGGACAAGCUGGGAUCACCAGGAUGGCAGAGCUGGUCCGUUUCAUGGAUGAGUGAACUGAGGUUCAGGAUGAGGCAGGGACUUACCCCAAAGCGCGUAGUGAAUUGGUGCCUUCUGGGAACUCUGCAACUCUAUGUGGUGAGUUGGUCAGGGUGAUAGUCUGGGGUCCAGGGCUUGGUGGUGCUUAGUGGUCUUUACAAUGAGCAGUUCUCGACUUUGGAUUAUUCAUUCAUUUUCUUGCUUUUUAUUUCUCUUUUGCUGUAUUUGAAUUAAUUUAUUAAUUCAUUUAGUUGGCAGGCCACUGCCAACCGAGUCCCACACCAGCUCUAAGACACACAGGAUGUGCACAUUGGCUUAGACAGCGGUUGAAUUCCAUCAAGUGGACAGUGUCCAGCUGUGUCAGGCAAGAUGACCCCAUCAUGUGUAUGUGGCAAGUCAAGUGCAAAAUGAACAGGUGAAGCUUCCUGCUCAAGUGGGACCAAUUUUAAGAUGGUAACUAGAGUGAUAAAGCAAAUGCUGGACUCUGGUCUCACUGUAAUUCAGGCUGGCCUUGAACUCACUAUGGGGCCCUUAAACUCGCAACGAUCCUCCUGCCUCAACCUCCCAUGUACUAGGAUUACAGGCGUGUGCUACCACGCCCAGCUGGACUUCUCUUUUCUAAGUACAGGAUUCUGCAACUGUACAGGCCCCAUGCCCAGGAAACCAGCCCUGGCCCAGCCUCUGGGAAACACUACUUGAAAUAGGAACAGUUCUUUGGCUCCGCUCAGGUUCCUUGGCCAGAGGGCCGUAAGGGGCCCUAAUACCACCCACACUUGAGGGGUGGCCAGGAAUUCAAAGGCUUGAGGUGAGAGGCAGAGUUUUCAUGGAGCUGAAAGAAGAGCUCAUCUGGCUGAACUCCUGGUCCGCAAGUUUUGAACCCUAGGAGACGCACCCAUGAGACACCUUUGUUGAAGUCCCUGGAGGAGCAGAAGACAGAGACGUUCUCUAGAGUGGUCCUGCACUUGUCUGGAUGUGGGUUCAGCGCUGAGUCUGGCGUGGGGAAUACUUCCCUUGUCAGGGAGGAGGGAGGGGUCGGGAGCAGGAGGCAGUGGUGGGGAAACGAGAGAAAGGAAGGAGCCAAAAAAGAAAAAGAGGAAAGAAAUUUAAUGUGAAUUUAUAGAACCUUCAAAACAGUUCCAACAUCCUUUCUGGCCUGGCUGCUUUCUUACCUCCUGGUGGUUGCCAAUAGCUGGAAAACUCCUGGCUCCGGGCUCCGAGCAUGAAAAUGCUGAACGUACACGGUGGUGUUUACAGGAAAACGCUGCGGGGCUGCGUCCUUUUGCGCUUUGUGUUCUAGGAUGUCGGCAGCAAUUGUAGAGGCGUUGCGAUUUCAACAGGGUUGGUAUCUCUCACUCGUUUUAAACGUAUCAGGAGGGCCAGAGCUGCUGCGAGGUCAGUAACGAUAGUUUCUGUUGCCUGGAAGGAACCCAGUGAAAGCCGUUUCCAAUUCACCGCGCAGAUCCUGCGGGGAAACUGCUUUGUUGUAGGGACGUCAGCUCCUAACAAGAAGCCUCCACUUGCUUGUUUUGCUUUCUGCCUGGCUCUCGCAGAGCUGGUCGAAACACGGAAAUAAGUAAAACUUCCAUGUAAUGAAGAUUUGAGGGCUCUGAACCCCUGGGAAGGAAGUGGGAUUCUUGUAAAACGUUAUCAUCUGUUUUCUGCCCCAGAUCGAAACGUCACGGUGUCCUGGCACCAUCCCAGGGGAUUUGGGAGGAUGUAUUUAAUCCCAUGCUCCAAGGAAGAGGCAGGGGUGUCAUUCCGAUUUAUGGAGAUCCUCGGUGACACCGAGGUCCUGGUGGCUGAAGCGAUUUCACCAUCUGCUGCUCUUGUGGGUGCUGGGACCCACGCCUGUCCAACCCUUGAGUUGCCUGACAAAGCAGUGGCGCUUUCUGGUCCUUGUUCUUGACACACUGCUCCUAAUCACUGAGCUAUUCCUUCAGGAAACAUUUCUUGAGCGCCUACUAUGUGUUGUGGUGAGCAAAACCGCAGAUAGUUCCGUCUUGCCUUGCUCUUUUUAUUCCUCUGGCUUUGCCGCUGUCGCUCCAUUCAAACACUGCUCUUCCAUUUUUAUUUGGGAACAAAUCCCUUGUUUGCUCUCUUGUGUGGCAGCGGCACCCAGAGGGUGUUAGUCCCAUGUUGACUUGUCUUUCUUCUCCCUAGAGGUGAAAGCAGGGGAACAAGUGGCCUCCUUCCAGCCUGACGCCAGGACCUGUGUCAUGAGUUACUCGGGUUCUCUUUGGCUCAGCACCUCUUCUUCUGGUCACAUCUUUAUCCACUUCCUUCCGCCCUGGAAACCCUUCCGCCCCAAUCCUAAACAUGGAGUUUUCAGCAGGAGCAGCCAAUCACAGCCCUGGCCACGGUGAUUGGUCCAGUCAUGAGCAUGUGACUCAGGCCUUGGCCAAUCAAAAUGCUUCCCCAGGGCUUCAUGCUCGGUACAGGUAAGAUUUUUUUUCCAACAAGCGAAGCACAGUUCCGACUUCCUGGUGGCAGCUGACCAGAAGAACUAAAUGACCCCUGAAAGAAGAGAGAGUGAUGAGGGGAGGGCACCCAAAGACGGUCAGAGUCCUUGGCGGUGGGCAUUUCUAAGGUAACUGUCACCUCUUGCCUUUUUUGUGGUUUGAGAGCAGAGUCGUCAUGGCUCCUGUUAACUGUGCUGGGUUCAUUUUAGCUGACAAUGAAUUUCUGUCACUUACAGGCAGAUUCGCUGGCACCUUUCAAGGAUCCAUUGUGACAAUCGAGAGAGAAGUAACUGGAGUAGCACACUAAAGCUAUUUCUAUCCACACAUGAGGGAUCAGGUCCCAGACCGGUGGGCACAGGGGUAGCUGUGACUCUGGGGUCAGUGGCCGCGAGGAGGCUGGAUAUCACUGUGGUACCAGGGAUAGAACUCAUGACCUCACACUUGCCAGAGAGAAGAAGGGUGCACCUUGUCCAGGGAAGGACUCGAGGCAGCGCCAGAGUCAGAGAUGAAGCGAGUUCCCUGGGGCGUGGCUCCUGUUGCUGGAGGCCAGGGAAGGGGUCCUUGGGCCACGUCCCAAGGAGCAGGAGGGGAGGACAGGGGCGGCCACCUGCUGGGGUGGAGGGACACUCGUGGGCCAGGAGGAUGAGGAAUCCAGCGCUACUCAGAGACUUGCUCCUGGGCGCCUUGGUGUUUGGGCUUGUUUUCUAUCAAAAAAGAUUCCAUCUGGUGGGUUCACAGUCCCCAGAACCGUGAGAGCUGGGCUGCUGGGUCUUCCUGGACAGCCAGCUCCUCCCGGUGCACAGACCUCUCCCCUGAGGUUUGAUGCCGAGGACAGAAGCCACUGGAAGGCAGGGAGGUGCGAGGACAGACAGGGUCACUGCGGCACAGCCGGUGGCGGUGACAACUGGAGGUGACCUCAGUGUCAAAGAUAGAAGAUGGUUCAAGGGGGGCUGAGGGUUCAGGCACGGGACGGGACGCGGGGCGGCUGAAGGUCAGUCUGCCCUCUCUUUCCCUUCCCUUCUCCUCCUUCCUUCCUUCUUCCCUCAUACAUGUGUUUGUUGAGUCCCCACAUGUCACCCCUUCUAUUCCAGGGUGCUGACGUAGAUGUUUAUGAUGUAUGAAGCAAUAAAUACAUAAUAAAGCAAAAUAAAAUAAAUUUAAAAGCCA